rnacentral:rRNA from 1 species
AAGCACCGGCUAAUUCCGUGCCAGCAGCCGCGGUAAUACGGAAGGUGCAAGCGUUAAUCGGAAUUACUGGGCGUAAAGCGCGCGUAGGUGGUUUGUUAAGUUGGAUGUGAAAGCCCUGGGCUCAACCUAGGAACUGCAUCCAAAACUAACUCACUAGAGUACGAUAGAGGGAGGUAGAAUUCAUAGUGUAGCGGUGGAAUGCGUAGAUAUUAUGAAGAAUACCAGUGGCGAAGGCGGCCUCCUGGAUCUGUACUGACACUGAGGUGCGAAAGCGUGGGUAGCGAACAGGAUUAGAUACCCUGGUAGUCCACGCCGUAAACGAUGACAACUAGCUGUUGGAAGACAACGUCUUUCAGUGGCGCAGCUAACGUUUUAAGUUGUCCGCCUGGGGAGUACGGCCGCAAGGCUAAAACUCAAAUGAAUUGACGGGGACCCGCACAAGCGGUGGAGCAUGUGGUUUAAUUCGAUGCAACGCGAAAAACCUUACCUACUCUUGACAUACUUGGGAGCUCUUGUAAUGAGAGUGUGCCUUUUGGAACCAAGAUACAGGUGCUGCAUGGCUGUCGUCAGCUCGUGUCGUGAGAUGUUCCGUUAAGUCGGAUAACGAGCGCAACCCUUACCCUUAUUUGCCAGCGAUUCGGUCGGGAACUAUAAGGGGACUGCCGGUGAUAAACCGGAGGAAGGUGAGGACGACGUCAAGUCAUCAUGGCCCUUACGAGUAGGGCUACACACGUGCUACAAUGGGGAAUACAGACGGACGCUAAGCCGCAAGGUGGUGCUAAUCCUAGAAAGUUUCCCGUAGUCCGGAUUGGAGUCUGCAACUCGACUCCAUGAAGUCGGAAUCGCUAGUAAUCGCGGAUCAGCAUGCCGCGGUGAAUACGUUCUCGGGUCUUGUACACACCGCCCGUCACACCAUGGAAGUGGAUUGCACCAGAAGUAGAUAGUCUAACCUUCGGGAGGGCGUUUACCACGGUGUGCUUCAUGACUGGGGUG